rnacentral:rRNA from 1 species
UACGAAGGGGCUAGCGUUGCUCGGAAUGACUGGGCGUAAAGGGCGCGUAGGCGGUUUGCACAGUCAGAUGUGAAAUUCCUGGGCUCAACCUGGGGGCUGCAUUUGAUACGUGCGGACUAGGAGUGGGGAAGAGGGUCGUGGAAUUCCCAGCGUAGAGGUGAAAUUCGUAGAUAUUGGGAAGAACACCGGUGGCGAAGGCGGCGACCUGGUCCUUGACUGACGCUGAGGCGCGAAAGCGUGGGGAGCAAACAGG